GAUGAACGCUGGCGGCGUGCCUAAUACAUGCAAGUCGAGCGAACGGACGAGAAGCUUGCUUCUCUGAUGUUAGCGGCGGACGGGUGAGUAACACGUGGAUAACCUACCUAUAAGACUGGGAUAACUUCGGGAAACCGGAGCUAAUACCGGAUAAUAUUUUGAACCGCAUGGUUCAAAAGUGAAAGACGGUCUUGCUGUCACUUAUAGAUGGAUCCGCGCUGCAUUAGCUAGUUGGUAAGGUAACGGCUUACCAAGGCAACGAUGCAUAGCCGACCUGAGAGGGUGAUCGGCCACACUGGAACUGAGACCCGGUCCAGACUCCUACGGGGGGCAGCAGUAGGGAAUCUUCCGCAAUGGGCGAAAGCCUGACGGAGCAACGCCGCGUGAGUGAUGAAGGUCUUCGGAUCGUAAAACUCUGUUAUUAGGGAAGAACAUAUGUGUAAGUAACUGUGCACAUCUUGACGGUACCUAAUCAGAAAGCCACGGCUAACUACG
rnacentral:rRNA from 1 species